UACGAAGGGUGCAAGCGUUACUCGGAAUCACUGGGCGUAAAGCGUGCGUAGGCGGUUCGUUAAGUCUGCUGUGAAAGCCCUGGGCUCAACCUGGGAACUGCAGUGGAUACUGGCGGACUAGAGUGUGAUAGAGGAUGGUGGAAUUCCCGGUGUAGCGGUGAAAUGCGUAGAGAUCGGGAGGAACACCAGUGGCGAAGGCGGCCAUCUGGAUCAACACUGACACUGAGGCACGAAAGCGUGGGGAGCAAACAGG
rnacentral:rRNA from 1 species